CAGUAGCCGCGGUAAUACGAAGGGUGCAAGCGUUACUCGGAAUUACUGGGCGUAAAGCGUGCGUAGGUGGUGGUUUAAGUCCGUUGUGAAAGCCCUGGGCUCAACCUGGGAAUUGCAGUGGAUACUGGGUCGCUAGAGUGUGGUAGAGGAUAGUGGAAUUUCCGGUGUAGCAGUGAAAUGCGUAGAGAUCGGAAGGAACAUCUGUGGCGAAGGCGACUAUCUGGGCCAACACUGACACUGAGGCACGAAAGCGUGGGGAGCAAACAGGAUUAGAUACCCGUGUAGUCCCUGUCUCUUAUAC
rnacentral:rRNA from 1 species